AUUGAACGCUGGCGGCAGGCCUAACACAUGCAAGUCGAGCGAGCGGCGGACGGGUGAGUAAUGUCUGGGAAACUGCCGGAUGGAGGGGGAUAACUACUGGAAACGGUAGCUAAUACCGCAUACCAUCAGAUGUGCCCAGAUGGGAUUAGCUAGUAGGUGGGGUAACGGCCCACAUAGGCGACGAUCCCUAGCUGGUCUGAGAGGAUGAUCAGCCACACUGGGACUGAGACACGGCCCAGACUCCUACGGGAGGCAGCAGUGGGGAAUAUUGCACAAUGGGCGCAAGCCUGAUGCAGCCAUGCCGCGUGUGUGAAGAAGGCCUUCGGGUUGUAAAGCACUUUCAGUAGGGAGGCGUUACCCACAGAAGAAGCACCGGCUAACUCCGUGCCAGCCGCCGCGGUAAUUC
rnacentral:rRNA from 1 species